GGAUGCGAUCAUACCAGCACUAAAGCACCGGAUCCCAUCAGAACUCCGAAGUUAAGCGUGCUUGGGCGAGAGUAGUACUAGGAUGGGUGGCCUCCUGGGAAGUCCUCGUGUUGCAUUCC
rnacentral:rRNA from 2 species